GGCUCGAAUCUAACGACCGUCUUUGUCUUCCAAUAUUUGGUGUCAGGCGAAAUCCGCAUUCCUAAGGCUAUGUCGGCUCCACCGGCAGCUCUCCUCCACAGUGUCCAUCUCCGCCAUGAACACUGAAAGCCAACCAUCCGUCUUUUGGGCCGAGGCUUUUGUGUUUAGGGACGGUUAUUUCGGGAGUUGGGAAGCAUAAAGUGGAGGGAGCAUAAUUCAAAUUCAGAAUUCGCAUGAUACAUUUCCUGAGGAAUUUUGGUUCAUUUUGAUUGAUACUUGUUUGGUUUCUAAAGCUCUUGAAUUUUAUUGUACUUGAAACUUAAUUGCUCUGAUGCGCUUUUGAUCUAUGAAUAUUCAGGUGCCUCAGUUGAUUAGUGACAGUUUCAUCUCCUCAAGAAAAUGGUAUGGUGCCCGAACUGCGUCAGGGACUGUCGUGUAGACCGUGAUCAUGCUAGUGGAUACAUAUGUUGUUCUGAAUGCGGAAGAAUACACUAUCAAGAUGUCUUCACAGAUGAGCCCACAUUCGUCAAGGGACCAGGAGGAGUGAGCCGUUUGGCUGGCAGUUUUGUGAGGAGCGUUCAAAGCGAUUGUUCAGAAUCAUUUAAAAGAACAUUAGAGAAUGGAAGUAGGCAAAUUAAUGAUUUGAUGAUAAAACUGGAUAUCCCUGACGAGUCUUUAGGUGCACAAGCAGCUUCAUUUUAUCGGAUUGCAGUUGAGCGUAGUUUCACCAAAGGACGUAGAACUGCUCAUGUUGCAGCAGCUUGCCUCUACAUUGCUUGCAGGGCCAAUGACAAGCCAUACUUACUUAUUGAUUUUUCCAUUUGGUUGAGUGUAAAUGUUUAUGUGUUGGGAGCUGUCUAUCUACAGCUUUGCAAAGUUUUGAACUUUGAAGAGCAUCCAUUUGUUCAGAAACCUAUUGAUCCUAGCCUUUUUAUGCAUCGAUUUACAAGUGCUUUAAUGAAAGGCGACUAUAAAAAUAAGGUUUGGAAGACAGCACUGCAAAUAGUUGCCAGCAUGAAGCGAGACUGGAUGCAGACAGGCAGAAAACCAAGUGGGAUAUGCGGUGCUGCAUUGUACAUCUCUGCACUUUCACAUGGGUGUAGUUACUCAAAGUCAGAAAUUGUGAAAAUUGUUCAUAUAUGUGAAGCAACACUGACCAAAAGGUUGGUUGAGUUUGAGAAUACAAAAUCUGGAAGCUUAACAAUUGAGGAAUUCAAUCAGAAUGCGGAAGAGUUUGAAAAGGAGAAUCAUUCAUCCACAUCACCAGAUAUAUACCUGCAGGAGUCUGGCAAAAAGGAAGUGCUUUGCCAACACAAAGGAAAAGAACCUCAUUUUGCUCAUGGGCUUUGCAGAAGCUGCUAUAAAGAUUUCAUUGAACUCUCUGGUGGACUUGAUGAAGGAUGUGAACCUCCAGCGUUCCAGGUUGCUGAAAGGGAUAGAUUAGCCCGAGCAUCUGCUGAGAAGGAAGGAAGCACUGAUCAGGCAAAUCAAGAUAGUUGUAACCAUGAGAAAGAAGCGGUGCCAGUGUCAGCAAGUGCUUCUGCCCCUCAGAAUCUGGACAAAAGUUGUGAUGACACAUUUCGCAAAGAUGACGAUAUUCCAUCUGUCACAGUUGAGACAGAUAACCUUUCUGAUAUUGAUGAUGUAGAGGUCAAUUCCUACCUUAAUAGUAAGGAAGAAAGCCACUAUAAGAAGAUUAUCUGGGAACAAAUGAAUAAGGAAUACGUUAAGGAACAAGCAGCUAAGGAAGUGGCUGCUGCUUUACGAGAUUGUGGUGAAGUUACAGAUGAUGUCCUUGCAGCACGGAAACUUGCAGCUGCAGCUGCUGCUGCUGUGGCAAAAUCAAGAGAUCAACGAAAACUGAAGAGAGCUGAAUCUAAAAAUGCUGGCCCAGCUCCAACUGCUGCUGAAGCAACCCGUCAGAUGCUGAUGAAAAAGGGGUUAAGUUCGAAAAUUAAUUAUGACGUUCUGGAGAAACUAUUUGAUGAGAGUUGCAGAACAUGGGGAAAGAAUGGAGAUAAGGCUGUUUGGAUUGAAGUUGGACUGCUUAGCAGAUGUAGGAUAACUUAUAUGUAAUGUGGUUUUUGACAUCUAAUCGGUGCUCCUUUGUUUGAAAUAAUGAAAGAUCCAUUGUGUUAAGCUCUGUACUUUUUUUUCACUUGAUUAAGCUUUUUCUGUUAGAAAAGGUUUGGGCUCUGUAGAGUGGAUAGUCCAUUUUCGCUUCCCAGAUUUUGAAGACUAGUUAUAAAUCUUGCUUUCAUGCUUUCUCCGUUCCUGAAUGUGUGUUCUUUAAUGCGCUUUAAUUACAUCCUCUAGCAACUGUGGUAUUUUUAGUCCAUGAAAGAUUGCGCUACUCCAACAAUAAUUAUAAUUCAAAAACAUAAUAACAUUUCUUGAGUUCAAUCUUGUGGAUCAGUAUUGAGUCAAGUUUGAGCUUUAGGAAACGGGUUCACUUUGAAUUCGACCUAUGCCGAGUCUAGUUGAGCUACGUCGAACAAUCUCAAAACGAACCAACUGCAGUCGCAGGGCUGGAUAAUCUUUUUUCUGAUUAGUCGCCUCCAAGCACCAAAAAGCCUCGUAUGGAACCUCCCCGCAAUGACCACAAUGCCUCUGGAAAAUAUGCAAACAAGAAGGAUAAUGAAGCAGAAUGAACAAUGUUAAUAAGCAGGAGCUGAACGAGGAUUAUAUGGAAGAUGAUAUUACCAUAGAAGUAGAUGAAGAGCAGGAUCAAAAUGAGGAAGACAUGUUCUAUUGUGAUGAAGAUGAUAAUGAUAAUUUUGAUGAAGAUUGAUUUUUUUUUUAUAGCAUCUUCAUAGUUUUAAAGGAAAGAGCAUGAUUCUUGUAAAAUUUUCAAUGCAUUCUUAAAUAUCCUCUCUUUCAAAAU